UACAGAGGGGGCAAGCGUUAUUCGGAAUUAUUGGGCGUAAAGGGCGCGUAGGCGGCCAUUCAAGUGACGGGUGAAAGCCCUCGGCUUAACCGAGGAACUGCCUGUCAGACUGGAUGGCUUGAGACCGGGAGAGGUGAGUGGAAUUCCCAGUGUAGCGGUGAAAUGCGUAGAUAUUGGGAGGAACACCAGUGGCGAAGGCGGCUCACUGGACCGGAACUGACGCUGAGGCGCGAAAGCGUGGGGAUCAAACAGGG
rnacentral:rRNA from 1 species